AGAGUUUGAUCAUGGCUCAGGACGAACGCUGGCGGCGUGCUUAACACAUGCAAGUCGAGCGGAAAGGCCCCUCGGGGUACUCGAGCGGCGAACGGGUGAGUAACACGUGAGCAACCUGCCCCUGGCUCUGGGAUAGCCUCCGGAAACGGGGAUUAAUACCGGACAUUCACUUCCUGCCGCAUGGUGGGUGGUGGAAAGUUUUUUCGGCCAGGGAGGGGCUCGCGGCCUAUCAGCUUGUUGGCGGGGUAACGGCCCACCAAGGCGACGACGGGUAGCCGGCCUGAGAGGGCGACCGGCCACACUGGGACUGAGACACGGCCCAGACUCCUACGGGAGGCAGCAGUGGGGAAUAUUGCGCAAUGGGCGGAAGCCUGACGCAGCGACGCCGCGUGGGGGAUGAAGGCCUUCGGGUUGUAAACCCCUUUCACCAGGAGCGAAUCCAGACGGUACCUGGGGAAGAAGCGCCGGCUAACUACGUGCCAGCAGCCGCGGUAAUACGUAGGGCGCAAGCGUUGUCCGGAAUUAUUGGGCGUAAAGAGCUCGUAGGCGGCCUGUCGCGUCCGCUGUGAAAUCCUGGGGCUUAACCCCGGGCGUGCAGUGGAUACGGGCUGGCUAGAGGCAGGCAGGGGAGAACGGAAUUCCCGGUGUAGCGGUGAAAUGCGCAGAUAUCGGGAGGAACACCGGUGGCGAAGGCGGUUCUCUGGGCCUGUUCUGACGCUGAGGAGCGAAAGCGUGGGGAGCAAACAGGAUUAGAUACCCUAGUAGUCC
rnacentral:rRNA from 1 species